rnacentral:misc_RNA from 1 species
UGAGCAGGGAGAGCGCAACUUUAACAGGUUUGGCGGCUGGCUAGGAAAGAAUUCUACAAUGGGAAAGAAUUACCGGAUUCUGGAGGAAUUGCAUGUCCACCUACUCGCAUCUCGUGAAUCUUAUCUGGGAAGGGCAAACCUGAGACUUGACUACUUUUCUCUUCUUGGAAAGAAGUUGACAGAUCCAUUAAAAGUGCUGCCUAAGGAUGAAGCUGUAGAGAAUGUUGUGGCUUUCAUGGAUUCUUACUCUAUAAGCCAGGAGGACUUCGAUAAUAUUGUGGAGAUAUCAAAAUUCAAGGGACAACCGAAUCUUCUGGAUGGUGUACAGCCUGCUGUGAAAGCGGCACUGACAAAGGCAUACAACAAAGGAAGCAAAUCACGUGUUAUUCGCACAGCAGAUUUAAUUACCCUUCCUGGAAUUAAAAAAGCUCCUAAGAAGCGCGUUGCAGCAAUGCUGGAGCCACUAGAUGAAGGUGUAGCUGAAGAAAAUGAUGAAACACUUGCUGAAGAUGAAGAGAAUUCAUCAGAUACAGAAGACAUAGAUGUUGGGAAAAAAUUGCAGUCGGAUCUUCAGAGUCUCAGUUCGAGAGGGAUCGAAGUAAACAUGGACUUGAAGGGUGCCGGGAGUUCAGGUAGCAAGAAGACGUCUGCAGGGAGAGGACGAGGACGAGGAAGUUCUAAUAGCAGUGCAACCGCUGAAUCCUCAGGUAAGAGAGGUGGUCGGGGUUCUGGAGCUGCUGCCAAGAGAAAGAGGUGAAACUGGAAAACAUCUCCCUGACCUAAUUCUGUCGGUUACAAUCAUCGGAAGCUGCAGUUUCCCUGGUCUUCUUCCUUGGGAAAAAGAAGCAUUUAGGAAACUUGUUUUUAGCUAUUUGUGUAAAAAAAGAGAAGUUCCUAAGUUGAUUUAUGUAUAUUCUACUUGAAAUUGAUGAAUGCUUUUUUUGUGUUAAUAGUUUUGGUUUG